AUGCUCCAGUCCAUGGGGUGGUAAAGAGUCAGACACGACUGAGCAAUUGAACAACAACAAGAGAAAUGCCAAAUCCUGUAGGAAAACAGUUCUGACAGCAGGGUUCUGAGAUAAAGUGACCUUUCUAGGUUAGUCAAGGAAGCACCCAGCCCACAGGUGUAAGCUUUUGAAAGCCUUGUCAGCCCCACCACCUCCUAUUCUUGAAACUUAGACAGUUUCAGCGUGCCUUCCAGAGCCUCUGGAACAAGCCCACUGGGCCCUGGGAAGGACAAAGUGGAGGGUAUGGUGAUGGCCUUGCCUGAGCAGUGCGUCACUUGGACACAGCCUGGACAUAGCUCUGCUCCCCUCCCAAGGGGCUGAGCUUUCUGGCACUUGCUCAAGGCAACCCAUCUGAUGCUGAGGGGGAGAAUUCCCAGAAGCUCAGAGCCAGUGCUGGGGGUGGAGCAUGUUCAGCCAGGCUUCAAAGGCUGAGUAGGAGCUGGCUGGUGGUGGGGAGCCAGUGUAAGCAGGGUUCUGUGGCUUGAGAAGCAAGUUGUCUGCAAGGAUGCUUUAUUGUUGCUCCAAAAACUGGUGAUGUGGAAGCAUUUAAAGAGAUAGAGAUUGUUAUUGUUCAGUUGCUAAGUCGUGUCCACCUCUUUGUGACCCCAUGGAUUGGAGCAUGCCAGGCUUCCCAGUCCUUCACUAUCGCCUGGAGUUUGUGCAAACUCAUGUCCAUUGACUUGGUGAUGCCAUCCAACCAUCUCGUCCUCUGUCGCCCCCUUCUGCUGCCCUCAAU
rnacentral:lncRNA from 1 species